GAUGAACGCUGGCGGCGUGCCUAAUACAUGCAAGUCGAACGGACGGACGAGAAGCUUGCUUCGUUGAUGUUAGCGGCGGACGGGUGAGUAACACGUGGAUAACCUACUUAUCUGUCUGGUAUAACUUCGGGACACCGGCUCUUAUCCCGGAGAAUAUUUUGAUCCACAUGGUUCAAAGGUGAAAUACGGUCUUGCGGGCAGUACUCGCUGCUUCUCCGCUGCUUUAGCUAGUUGUGAAGGUAAAGGCUUUGGAGGGGAACGAGGCAUAGGCGACGUGAUAGGGUGAUCGGCCACAUUGGAACGGGGCCACGGUCCAUACUCCUACGGUAGGCAGCAGAAGGGAAUCGGCCGCAAUGGUGGAAAGCCUGACGGAGUAAGGCCGCGUGAGUGGUGAAGGCGUUCGGAUCGUGAAACUCUGUUAUUAGGGAUGAACAUAUGUGUAAUUAACUGUGCACAGCGUGACGGUACCGAAUCAGAAAGCAACGGCUAACUACGUG
rnacentral:rRNA from 1 species